AUUGAACGCUGGCGGCAUGCCUUACACAUGCAAGUCGAACGGCAGCACGGGAGCAAUCCUGGUGGCGAGUGGCGAACGGGUGAGUAAUAUAUCGGAACGUGCCCAGUCGUGGGGGAUAACGUAGCGAAAGCUACGCUAAUACCGCAUACGAUCUAUGGAUGAAAGCGGGGGAUCGCAAGACCUCGCGCGAUUGGAGCGGCCGAUAUCAGAUUAGGUAGUUGGUGAGGUAAAGGCUCACCAAGCCGACGAUCUGUAGCUGGUCUGAGAGGACGACCAGCCACACUGGGACUGAGACACGGCCCAGACUCCUACGGGAGGGCAGGCAGUGGGGGAAUUUUUGGGACAAUGGGCGCAAGCCUGAUCCAGCAAUGCCGCGUGCAGG
rnacentral:rRNA from 1 species